UACGGGGGGGGCAAGCGUUGUUCGGAAUUACUGGGCGUAAAGGGCGCGUAGGCGGCCUGCUAAGUCACACGUGAAAUCCCUCGGCUCAACCGGGGAACUGCGUGUGAUACUGGCGGGCUUGAAUUCGGGAGAGGGAUGUGGAAUUCCAGGUGUAGCGGUGAAAUGCGUAGAUAUCUGGAGGAACAUCAGUGGCGAAGGCGACACCCUGGACUAAUACUGACACUGAGGUGCGAAAGCGUGGGGAGCAAACAGG
rnacentral:rRNA from 1 species